rnacentral:rRNA from 1 species
AGAUUGAACGCUGGCGGCAUGCCUUACACAUGCAAGUCGAACGGCAGCACGGGGGCAACCCUGGUGGCGAGUGGCGAACGGGUGAGUAAUGCAUCGGAACGUGCCCAGUAGUGGGGGAUAACUAGUCGAAAGAUUAGCUAAUACCGCAUACGACCUAUGGGUGAAAGCGGGGGAUUCGCAAGAACCUCGCGCUAUCGGAGCGGCCGAUGUCUGAUUAGCUAGUUGCGGGUAAAAGCCACCAAGGCUUCGAUCAGUAGCUGGUCUGAGAGGACGACCAGCCACACUGGGACUGAGACACGGCCCAGACUCCUACGGGAGGCAGCAGUGGGGAAUUUUUGGACAAUGGGCGCAAGCCUGAUCCAGCCAUGCCGCGUGCGGGAAGAAGGCCUUCGGUGUAAACCGCUUUGGCAGGAACGAAACGGCGCGAGCAAAUAUCUCGCGUUAAUGACGGUACCUGCAGAAUAAGCACCGGCUAACUACGUGUCAGCACG